GAAACUCGUAAUUUCCUCAGAAUACCCCUGAUUUCUCCAUUUCCCUCUAAACACAUAAUUUCUCUUUAAAUUCUCACCGCACCGCACCGCCACACCGCACCAUCGUACUGCCAAACACUUUCAGAAUGAGUUUUGAAGUUUCUUCUACCUUUGGUCCACCACCGAACCGAUUUCUCUAUAAACCGUGUUUCCUUUGUGUGUUUCGAUUACUUCGAUUGCGUUCCGCAAGGAUCGAUUUGUUUUUUUCAUAUACUCUUGCUUAAUUUUGUCGUUUAUUUGGUUGUUUCCGUGGUGAUUUUUGUUUUCUUCUUAAUUUUCUCAAUCUAUAUUCAAAUUUGGAUUCUCCUAACGUGAUUGAACUGUGCAGGGGAGAGGUGUUGGCUCAUUGGAAAAGGGUUAGGAGUGAGAGAGGUUGGUGAUCUUUGUAAAAUGCUUAAGUUUUUUAGGAAGUUUUUGAGACAAAUUGUGUUUUGUUUUGGUAUAUCUAGGAGAUACUAAACAAAGGGACAUGCACAGAAGCGUCCAAUAUUUAGUUUUAUUUGUUCUACAUUCUUCUUUUUGACACACUUCAAUAUUUAUCAACAUAAUCAAUAUGCAAUAUGCAGAUAUCGUUAUUAGCUAUCUCCUGGAAAGCCUAAUCAUACUUGUGGUGGGGCAAAUAUUUUGAGCAUGACCAAUUGUUUUGCAUGUUGUAAAAGUCUAAUAAUCAAUUUUGCUAUUAUUAGGUCUUUCGCAGGGUGAGAAUGGUCAAAUGUUAGGGCAAGGUGUUGGGAAAAGACAGUGUCAACUCACAAGUCUUUCCCAAACUUUCUUGACUCACCCAUAACGCUCUUUUUUCACCCAUCUCCCACCAUAUAUUUUAACUAGUAUUAGAUUUAUUUUUAAAACUACUCACAAUAUUAUAACAUUGUUCUUGCAGUUAAACAUGAAACAGGAUAAGUGUUGAACGUAAGUGUGUACAUUAUACAGCCUCAUAGGGUUGUUGUUUCUGGGUUUUCUGUUGGAUGGGAUUGGCGAGUCAGAAUCCUGAACUAAGUGUCUUCAUUCGUCAUCCAGGGGCUUGUGUAUCUUCAUUCGUCACAGUUUCAUUCUUUGGUCUGUCGGCUAAGCCUAUUCAGCAUUGUGUUUUUCCCCUUGAUCUUUGUAAUAUGGUUUAUAAGUGUAUUUCUUAUUCCUCAUUGAAUUGACUAGUUACAAUAGCCUAAUUUUACAUACCGUGUGUCAUUCCUAUACUGAGAAGGAGACUGAAUAAAAUUGAAUGUUUCAUUUCA
rnacentral:lncRNA from 1 species